AUUGAACGCUGGCGGCAUGCCUUACACAUGCAAGUCGAACGGUAACAGGUCUUCGGAUGCUGACGAGUGGCGAACGGGUGAGUAAUACAUCGGAACGUGCCUAGUAGUGGGGGAUAACUACUCGAAAGAGUGGCUAAUACCGCAUGAGAUCUACGGAUGAAAGCAGGGGAUCGCAAGACCUUGCGCUACUAGAGCGGCCGAUGGCAGAUUAGGUAGUUGGUGGGAUAAAAGCUUACCAAGCCGACGAUCUGUAGCUGGUCUGAGAGGACGAUCAGCCACACUGGGACUGAGACACUGCCCAGACUCCUACGGGAGGCAGCAGUGGGGAAUUUUGGACAAUGGGCGAAAGCCUGAUCCAGCAAUGCCGCGUGCAGGAUGAAGGCCUUCGGGUUGUAAACUGCUUUUGUACGGAACGAAAAGCCCCGGGUUAAUACCCUGGGGUCAUGACGGUACCGUAAGAAUAAGCACCGGCUAACUACGUGCCAGCAGCCGCCGUAA
rnacentral:rRNA from 1 species